GCCGAAGUAGCUCAGUUGGUUAGAGCAUCGGAUUGUGGAUCCGAGGGUCAUAGGUUCGAAACCUAUCUUCGGUA
rnacentral:tRNA from 1 species